CCUACGGGAGGCAGCAGUGAGGAAUUUUCUGCAAUGGACGAAAGUCUGACAGAGCAAUACCGCGUGAAGGACGAAGGCCUGCGGGUUGUAAACUUCUUUUCCCAAGGAGGAAGACAUGACGUUACUUGGGGAAUAAGCAUCGGCUAACCCUGUGCCAGCAGCCGCGGUAAUACAGGGGAUGCGAGUGUUAUUCGGAAUUAUUGGGUGUAAAGCGUCAGCAGGUGGACUUGUAAGUCUUUUGUUAAAUUUUCGGGCUUAACCCGAGGCAUGCAAAGGAAACUCCAAGUCUAGAGUAUGGUAGAGGUAAGAGGAAUUUCCAGAGGAGUGGUGAAAUGCGUAGAUAUUGGAAAGAACACCAACAGCGAAGGCAUCUUACUGGGCCAGUACUGACACUCAGUGACGAAAGCUUGGGUAGCAAACAGGAUUAGAUACCCUGGUAGUCCAAGCUGUAAACGAUGGGUACUAGGUGUUGUGUACUCUCAGAGUAUGCAGUGCCGUAGCUAACGCGUUAAGUACCCCACCUGGGGAGUAUGCUCGCAAGGGUGAAACUCAAAGGAAUUGACGG
rnacentral:rRNA from 1 species